rnacentral:rRNA from 1 species
AAACUUUCAACAACGGAUCUCUUGGUUCUGGCAACGAUGAAGAACGCAGCGAAAUGCGAUAAGUAAUGUGAAUUGCAGAAUUCAGUGAAUCAUCAAAUCUUUGAACGCACAUUGCA